rnacentral:misc_RNA from 1 species
GCAAACUUGGUCAUUUAGAGGAAGUAAAAGUCGUAACAAGGUUUCCGUAGGUGAACCUGCGGAAGGAUCAUUAACGAGUUUUUGAAAGGGGUUGUAGCUGGCCUAAAAACAAGGCAUGUGCACACCCUGCUCAAUCCACUCUCAAACCCCUGUGCACUUACUGUAAGCUAUGGUGGGAUAGCCGACUUCGGUUGGUUUGAAAGCCUUGCUUAUGUUUAUUACAAACGCUUCAGUUUAAGAAUGUAACACCGCGUUUAACGCAUUAAAUACAACUUUCAGCAACGGAUCUCUUGGCUCUCGCAUCGAUGAAGAACGCAGC